rnacentral:lncRNA from 1 species
GCAAGGAAAAUAGCUGCCCAUGUCAAAGGAAGGUCCGAUGGAAUGCCACAGGGUGGCACUGAUACCUUCUGCUAGAAAAGCAGGUGGUUGAGUGAGCUCUCACCUGCCAAUCCCCAUGGGGAAGUCUGGAAUGGCCAGAGCUGGCCUUGGCUACUGCUCCUCAGCCUACAGGACAAGGAGCCUCUAGGUCUCGCCAUGCCUGGAAUCCUCUGUGGGGUGUGCAAAACAAGUCCCCUGGGACCCUCCGGUGCCGACGGUCGGAUGAGUCCUCCCACCCUUGCAGAGAAUGGGCCCCAACACGGCAGGGCUUGGGCCACCUUCCUCCUUCCUCCUUCUUCAUCCCCUGCCCGGUCCAGAGAGCCAACGCCACCUUCUUCAGCCACAGACAACCUCCGCCAUAGGGAAAUCCUUUUUUCGUGUCGACUUUUAAUUCACUGACUUGUGAAGAGUGGAGAGAGCGACUGAAGGCCCACCACUUGCAAGGCACUGCCCCCUUGUCCUGUGCUUUCCAGGCCACAGGAAGCAGCUCCCUCUUCGGCAUGGAGAAUUUCUGCAUCAUCACCAUGGCCAGAGUCCAGCCCUGGCCUGCGAGGAAGGCCUCGGGCGGUGGAAUGGCCCAGGUGGGGCUGGAAGGGCUUGGAAGUGGUCAUUAAUGGAGGACAGAGCGGUGCUCGUGCAGACGGGGAGUGGAAAGUGCUGAGGCUGCCAAAAUGGAAAGUGCCUGUUAAUAGCACGCGUGACGCCUCAUAGCUCACUCGCUGACACGUGGAACCCUGGGCUUCCUGCAGAACGCAGCCUGCAUGCUAAUGAUGCCAGGAGCGGCUUGCCUGGCCCUGGGGAGCUGCUCUCCGGGCUGCUUGCUUACGUGACACUGCAAAGAUCGAGGCCCAGAACAGUAGGAUGUGGAGAAGAAGGAAUCUAUUUCUACAACCCCUUCUUCCUGCGGUCUGCACAAGAGACCUGGAGUGACGAUGACAGGAGACAGAAAGGAAGGAGCUUAUCACGGGCAUCAAAGCUGCAUCCCAGUGCUGCAAAGAUGCUGCCGGUCCCGUUGCACCACAGAGGGAACUCCUGAACCCGAGGAUCAAACCUUAAGGAGAAAAUCCAGCCAGGAAUUAAAGGAGAUACGGAGGAGGUGUCGUGGCCUUGCUGGCCCAUUGAGGAAAGCUUAUAGGUAACUUCCCAUAAUUCCCUAACAGUGAGAGCAAAAAGUGAUCAAUGGAGUUCCUGUUGUGGCGCAGUGGAAACGAAUCCGACUAGCAACCAUGAGGUUGUGGGUUUGAUCCCUGGCCUCGCUCAGUGGGUGAAGGAUAUGGCAUUGCUGUGAACUACGGUAUAGGUCGCAAACACGGCUCGGAUCCCGCGUGGCUGUCGCUGUGGCGUUAGCUGGACCUCUAGCUGGGAGCCUCCAUAUGUAGCAGGUGCGACC